rnacentral:lncRNA from 7 species
AGAUUUGUGCUGUAUUUAUUUCUACUGUUGUAGAAGUGAAAUGAAAUUAGCAUUUAGAGGGCAUUUCACACAGCACUGGUGAAGUGAGGGAGAAAUGCUUCUCUUUGCAGCCCAUGGAAGUCAGUGCUGGCACCAGGAGCUCACUGCUGUGAAAGAGGUGGUCUCCAGGCUCACUCCUCCCUCUGGGUGCUGCGGCACAUCGCAGGAUGACAGUAGAGAGCUUUCAGCAUUCAUAUAUCUCGACUUACCGUGAGGGCUCGGGGAUGUCGGCUGUGCUCCAGAAGUGCUGAGGCAGAGCACGGAGGUGAGGCCAGGCGGUGCAGGCACAGCUGGGGCUCUCACUGCUCACGCAGUUACAGAGGGGAGCGCUCUGCAGCCAGGAGCGGGGCACGGCUCUGCUGGAGCUUUGCUCGCAGCCCUCAGCUGGUGCCCUGCUGCUCAUUAGCCAAGCUGUGGGA